rnacentral:tRNA from 1 species
CCCUAAAAGUAGGCAUAGUUUAAAUUAAACCCUUAAGCUGUGGACUUAACAACAGGA